rnacentral:rRNA from 1 species
AACGAACGCUGGCGGCAUGCCUAACACAUGCAAGUCGAACGAGACCUUCGGGUCUAGUGGCGCACGGGUGCGUAACGCGUGGGAACCUGCCCUUAGGUUCGGAAUAACUCCCCGAAAGGGGUGCUAAUACCGGAUAAUGUCUUCGGACCAAAGAUUUAUCGCCUUUGGAUGGGCCCGCGUUGGAUUAGCUAGUUGGUAGGGUAAAAGCCUACCAAGGCGACGAUCCAUAGCUGGUCGGAGAGGAUGAUCAGCCACACUGGGACUGAGACACGGCCCAGACUCCUACGGGAGGCAGCAGUGGGGAAUAUUGGACAAUGGGCGAAAGCCUGAUACAGCAAUGCCGCGUGAGUGAUGAAGGCCUUAGGGUUGUAAAGCUCUUUUACCCGGGAUGAUAAUGACAGUACCGGGAGAAUAAGCUCCGGCUAACUCCGUG